rnacentral:rRNA from 1 species
CGGGACGGGUGAGUAAUGCUUGGGAAUCUAGCUUAUGGGAGGGGAUAACUACGGGAAACUGUAGCUAAUACCGCGUAGUAUCGGAAGAUGAAAGUGUGGGACCUUCGGGCCACAUGCCAUAGGAUGAGCCCAAGUGGGAUUAGGUAGUUGGUGAGGUAAAGGCUCACCAAGCCGACGAUCUCUAGCUGGUCUGAGAGGAUAACCAGCCACACUGGGACUGAGACACGGCCCAG